rnacentral:rRNA from 1 species
AGGAAAUAGAUACCCCGGUAGUCCACGCCCUAAACGAUGUCGACUAGGUGUUCGGUGAGGAGACUCAUUGAGUACCGCAGCUAAACGCGUGAAGUCGACCGCCUGGGGAGUACGGUCGCAAGAUUAAAACUCAAAGGAAUUGACGGGGACCCGCACAAGCGGUGGAUGAUGUGGAUUAAUUCGAUGCAACGCGAAAACCUUACCUACCCUUGACAUGUACGGAACCCUGCUGAGAGGUGGGGGUGCUCGAAAGAGAGCCGUAACACAGGUGCUGCAUGGCUGUCGUCAGCUCGUGUCGUGAGAUGUUGGGUUAAGUCCCGCAACGAGCGCAACCCUUGUCAUUAGUUGCUACGCAAGAGCACUCUAAUGAGACUGCCGGUGACAAACCGGAGGAAGGUGGGGAUGACGUCAAGUCCUCAUGGCCCUUAUGGGUAGGGCUUCACACGUCAUACAAUGGUCGGUACAGAGGGUUGCCAAGCCGCGAGGUGGAGCCAAUCCCAGAAAGCCGAUCGUA